CGCCGGUCGUGGCUGACUCCUCAGCGUCCGUUCGCUGCCCCGACCUCCGCCGUCAGGCAUCGGGUUCACUGAGUGAAUGGAGAAGAGUGCAGCGGGGUUCGCUCGGGGCAGCGGGGCAGCAUUGGGCUGCUCAGGAGGAGGAAGCGGUUGCUGCCGCCGAGUGACAGCAGCAGCAACGGUGGUUGUCCGGUAGAGGCAGCAGUGGUGCAUUUCGGGCAGUGGCUGCACCCCGAGGGCAGUGGCAUCGGCUUUAACAAGUCUAUGCUACGCUCUCUCGUCUUAAGGUAGUGGAAGCGAAAGACGUGAUUAUCGAGCAAGAUCCAGAGGGCGUGAAACGGGGCUGUCCG